rnacentral:rRNA from 1 species
AGAGUUUGAUCCUGGCUCAGGAUGAACGCUAGCGGCAGGCUUAAUACAUGCAAGUCGUGGGGCAGCAUGAGUAGCAAUACUUGAUGGCGACCGGCAAACGGGUGCGGAACACGUACACAACCUUCCUUCAAGCGGGGAAUAGCCCAGAGAAAUUUGGAUUAAUACCCCAUAACAUAUUUGAUAAGGCAUCUUAUUAAUAU